UGACGGUACCUGACUAAGAAGCUCCGGCUAAAUACGUGCCAGCAGCCGCGGUAAUACGUAUGGAGCAAGCGUUAUCCGGAUUUACUGGGUGUAAAGGGAGCGUAGACGGCUGUGCAAGUCUGGAGUGAAAGGCAGGGGCUCAACCCCUGGACUGCUUUGGAAACUGUAUGGCUUGAGUGCCGGAGGGGUAAGCGGAAUUCCUAGUGUAGCGGUGAAAUGCGUAGAUAUUAGGAGGAACACCAGUGGCGAAGGCGGCUUACUGGACGGUAACUGACGUUGAGGCUCGAAAGCGUGGGGAGCAAACAGGAUUAGAUACCCUG
rnacentral:rRNA from 1 species